GAAGAGAAGCAUGAGGUUACAUCUGUAAUCUCCCUGCAGCAGAGUCAACUGCAUAAGAAACCAAAAGACACACCUGCUCCAUGCCAGCCUAAGCCACCACAUAAAAAGUCAGACCAUCUGCUGGAAGAACCACAUGGAGAGGCCCUGAGUCGACAUGGAGAGGAAGAAGGACUUAACUGAAUCCAGCCUUCCAGCUGUCCCUACCAAGGUGCCAGGCACGAGAAUGAAGCUGUCUUGGACUCUGAAGACCAGCUUAGCCACCAGGUAAAUGCCACUAAGUGACCUCACUCAAUGUCAUGUGGGACGGAAGAAUCACCCCGCCAAACCCUUCCUGGAUCCCUGACCCAGAAAUUUGUCAGAUGUAAUGGUUGUGAAAAGCCACUCAAUUUGGGGGCAGUUUGUAUGCAGCAUAGCUAGCUGGUAUGAUACAACAGCCUGCAAUUCAGGCAGCAGCAGCACUAACAACGAUGAAAUCCUGCAGGAGCGAACUCCUUUGGGGUGCCUGCCUAAUUGUUUUCUUUUCUGAGAGUCUCCUCCCCAGUAUCCCCUAAACCACCAUCCUGCAUCUUUCUCCCCCACUAGCCUCCGUGGGAGACAUAUGACCCACAUUGGGCCGGGUGGAUUCUCUCCCUGCCAACUCCCUUCCUCCCUUCCACAGUUGAUGGGAGUAGACAUUUGACUAGAGCUGGGCCAGGCAGAUCCUCUCUCCCAGAUAUGUGGGACCAGGAAUCAGAGGUGGCUGAUCAUUCUGCGUCUGUGGCUAGUAGUCCUUGAGAUGCAAGUUUGGAGGGGCUGGAGGCAACUAUCUCCCUACAAUGUGUAGGGAAACAUAGAGAAAGCUGGUCUGCGGUGGGAAAAGAAUGAUGCGGAUGUGUAGCCAAGUAGAGAGAAGGGGCUUCCUUCUGUUGACCUUCCUUCUGCUGGGUGGGGGCGACAGGGAGUGAGGCAAGCCCAGCCUUGUCUCCUAGCCUCCUCUAAGCACCACUCACUCAGAAAGCCCAACACCAAGCUCCUCCUCUUGCCAAACUAAUUCGAAUCUUGCCUUCCCCACCCUGAUUAAGGGCACCCAUCCUUUGUCUGAACUUAUCUUAAGGAGAGACAGCUAUUCUUUUUUUCUCCCUGACCUCUCAAGUCCAACUGGUCAGCAAACCCUGCCUGUCCUACCUUGACCCAUGGCAAUGGGCCUACUCUUGCCCCCACACUGUCCCUAGAUCUCUCUUUCCUUUUAGAGACAGGGUCUUGCUCUACCACCUGGUGCAGUGGUAUGAUCAUAGCUCACUGCAACUUCAAAUUCUUAGGCUCAAGUAAUCCUCUGGCCUUGGCCUCCCAAAGCACUGGGAUUACAGGCAUGAGCCACUGCACCCAGCCCCAGAUCUCUCUCUCGACACAGAUCUGGUCAUGCCACCACUCUGCUCACAGACCUCCCAUGCUCCCCCUUUGUCCUGGUUAGCAGUGGCCUUCACAACUGUGGCAGAUGGUCUUGCUGCAGGUCAGUGACUGCCCUGACAAACUUUACAAGCUGCUCUCCACAAACCCUGCUUAUUUUCCCACUUCUUCCUUCCCUCUGGAUGGAAUCUUCAUCUACCCUUCCCUGCCUGGAAAACUCAAACCACACUCAAGGUCAGACUCGAAUGACACCUCAUUUAUGAAAUAUCCCCUGGCUUCUGUGUGCUAAGCGCAGUGCUAAACAUUUUCCUUGCAUAACCUCUACAUACCAAACUGGAGGUGAUGGUCUCCUUUUUACAGAGGAAGAAACUGAGGGUCACAGAAGGUAAGCAGCCCCCUUAAGGCCUCAUGUCAGGCAAGUGUGAGAGUCAGGAUUGCUGCCCACAGCUGUCAGCCUGAAAGCUGCUCUCAUCUACCACACUGUUCUCUGUGACCUUUUAAUCCUCCCUCCUCCUUGGGGGCAAGGGAGGGGGACUCAUGGCACCUUCUUCUCAGUUUCCAGAGCAGUUACUGCGCAGCACUCACCACCCUCCAUUAUGCCUGCAGGUCUAUUGCUAGGUGGUGAGGCGGUCAAGUGCAGGGAAGGGCACAGUUAUUGCUGCAUCCCAGUGCCUAGUCCAGGCAAAGCAAGGACUGGAGCAAAGUAAGCGUUCGAGAAAUGUGAGCCGAAAUGAGAUACUGCUCUGGGUUGACUAGCAAAGCUGUUUUGACCCAGGUGGCCUCAUUCAACAGCCUCCUCAAAGCUUUCCUGCCACCCGUUAGUUAUGGCAAGCCCUGGUCUGGGCACACGGUGUGUCCCUGGCGGCCGUGACUGCCCUCUCCCUCCCAGUCUGUGGCAGAGGGCAGAGUCUGCCUUCUCAGGUCCUGGCUCUUUGGAUCCCACACAGCUGGGUGACCUCAGGGUUCUCCCCACCCAUGACAGCAUCUCCUGCAACCAUGCUUUCUUUAAACAAACACAGCAAAAGCAAGGCAAAGCAGGUGGUGGGCUGGAGGAGGCAGGGGCUGUGCAGAGGAGACAGGACACCCCUGAGAGGCAGAGCCAGGUGGGGCGGCCAGAAGGAGGGCAUGCAGACUACAAGGGGAAGUGGGGCACGGCCACAACACUCCCCUCUCUGUGCCCUGUCUGGUUCCACACACCCAGCCAUAAAGGACACAGCUCCUCUCAUUUUAAGAGCCCAUAUAAAGGCAGAAGGAAGUCACAUACACACACACACACACACACACACACACACGCGCGUGCACACAUACCCACACACACUCAUGCACCAAAGCCCUCAACUCAGCAAGAAGCCUUGUCUUUUCAGAUGCCAAACACUGAGCAGGCUUUGUUCUCCACCCACAAACCAGAGGCUGUCUCAGCAGGAAAGAGUUGGAGUUGGAGAAAAAGGAGAAUUAAGAAUCUAUCUGGCGAUGUGGAUUAAAUAAACAACAAAUUGGCAGAUUGUUUUUAAAAGGUAACAUCCACUAUUGGCAAACAGACAUUUCUAAUACACUGCUUGUGGGAGGGUGAAUUGGUAUGACCUUUCUACAGGGCAAACUGCAAUAGUAAUAAAAGGCUUAGGCCAGGCGGGGUGGCUCACGCCUGUAAUCCCAGCUCUUUGGGAGGCUGAGGCGGGAGGAUCACCUGAGGUCAAGAGUUCAAGACCAGCCUGGCCAACAUGGCAAAACCUGGUCUCUACUAAAAAUACAAAAAAAAAAAAAAAAAAAAAAAAA
rnacentral:sRNA from 1 species